rnacentral:lncRNA from 1 species
UGUAGUAUAUUCAUUGAAAAGUUAUUAUUCUUAUAUAUUAUUUUAAUAUUUUAAACUUUAGAGUGCAUUGAAGUAUAAUUCAUGUAACAACAUGAAGAUUGUCUACUGUUUGAAAUUUGAUUGUCCUUACCUUUAAAUGUGUUUCUCCAGCAUCGUUGGAGGCUCAAAGUCCAGUUUCCACUGUCCACUCCUACUCUUCCUCAUCUCUGGUGUUCAUGUGGCAAGUCUUGAGCUGGGAACUUCAGGUUCUCCUGCGAGGGUGUCGUACGUUCACAGCGGUCAUUCUGCUUCUGUCUCCUUUGGCGCUGCACCUGCUGGCGUGAGGAACAGGGCUUGCAGGAUGUCAGACAGAGAAAUGAUGCCCACGAUACUGUCGGCCUCGUUCACCACCACCGCCAGCCGAUGCACCUCGGCACUCACUAUCCUGUCCACAACGGUCUCCAGGGUUUCCAGCUUACUGCACUUCACAACGCCUUCGAAAUACUGCCAUGAGUGCUGCAGAGCCUGUGUCACGGUGAUGUCCAGGUUAUUGUAGGUUUUCUCAGCAGCAAGAUUAAUUACAUCAAAUUUGGAAUAAAUAUCUACAACUUUUCCCCGUUCAUCCACCGCAGGCAGCGCCGAUAUCUGUCUCUCUACGAAUAUGUUCAGGGCUUUGAUGAUGGGCGUGUCUGGGGGGAUGAAGGCAAUAUUUUCGUAGGUUCCUAUCCCCAGCUCCUGCAGAUUCUGCUUCAUGAAGGCGGACUUUGGCAUGUCAGAUGCAAAAAGCUAGAGGAACUUGAGGAUUCUUUUGUGGGUAAUGAUAUAAACUGCAUUCCCACUGACAGGGUCAAUGACUGGCAAUCUGUGGAUUUUAUUUUUGAUCAACGAGUAUACAGUGUCGAAGAGGCUUGCAUCUGGAGAUAUAUUCACUAAAGGCUUAAAUGUUUCUUGUAAAUAAAGCUCUCUCCACGUUUCAAUUUUAUGUUCCUCUAAUUCAUAAAUCUGUACCAUAGGUGAUUUAUAGCAUCUAUGUGGUAUAUUUAUGAAAUCUGUGAUUGUUAGCAUUCCUACAAGACUCUGCUUUUUACUUUCCCACAGUGGUGCUGCUCGGACACCAUUGGCUACCAAAGCAAAAAAGGCCUUUUUCACUUGUAACGUAGUGUCAAAGAUGACAAGCUUUGAACUAGUUGGAACAAUGUCAUAACACUUGUGUGACCUCAUGAAUCGCAUGUAAACACCGCUUUCUGAGUCUUCUUCCUCCUUGAACACCAGCUUCUCCAGCAUGCCGACUUCCCCGGUCCGGGGGUCUGGGGGCCACUGCCAGCGCCGCCUGAGGGGGAGGAGGAGGACAGCGAUCAGCAUGGACCCCGGUGCUCCUCCGGCCCAGCUCUUGGGGCUCGCUCCGCCAGAUGGUGAAUACUUACAUAUGGUGACCCCCUUUCACAUUGCCAUAGAGGACCAUCUCCAUGGUUGGGGGCACCAUAAGCCAAAUCGAAUGGUUUCAGUUGAGCAGGGGGUCAAAAAUUCUUGGCUGACGUGAGUAGGUACAAUGUGUUUUAUAACCAGCCCAAUGUUCAUCUUUCAAGCUGUGCCUACAAGAUAAAGACCUAGGUGUUACCUAAUUUUAAUUGAGUACAUAUCAAACAGAAUUAUUCAGAUUUCCAAACAAAAUGCUUAUCCUUAGGGGAAAAGUGCUAGGAGAUGAAAAGUCUUUUACCAACUUAUUGCCUACGAGAGCUGUUUUGAUAGAUUAUUCUUCUUAACUGUAUCAUCGAAGGUCAUAUUCUCAGCUAUUGUCACAUGACUCAGAAUGAGUGCUCUUUAAGCUUUGUAUACAUGUGUACUGGACCAGUAUUUCUCAGGUUACAAUGAACAUGGGAAUCACCUAGUGUAUUGUUAAAAAGAAGAUUCUCAUUUAUUAGUCUACAGAGGGACUCCAGAUUCUGCAUUUUAAGAAA